UCGGUUUCGUAUACAAUUGCAAGAGGGGUCUAAUUUGAGAGAUUUUCAAACAUGCUUCGUCAUAUAUAAUCUCUUCCUUACGCAGGAUCUUAAAAUGUCUCUGUAACCAAAAAGGUAACUGUUAUAUAUCUGAUUUUCAUCAAUUGUGACAUCCCACAAGUACCUGUUAAAUCACGUUACUGAUCUGGAACCAAUCUAACUGAGUCCUUGUCAACAUGUGAAGUUGUCUCAAGUUGAAUGUCCGAUGUUGGAGUGAAUAUAUAGCUUAGAAAGGGAGAGAGUCGGAUUCAUGGAGGUAGAACAGGAAGAAGGGGAUACAGAUGAUUGGCCACCGUAUCUACUGGAGGACCUGCCCACAGAGGCUUUACUGGAGAUAUUCCAACACCUUGACUGGCAAAACCUUAUGAAUGUGUCGCAAACCUGCUCACGCUUCAGAGACCUCUGUCUAAAGGCAACACUAUGGUUGCACAUGAAACAGUUGGAUUUCAGAAAUUGUGCCAUCCCGUAUGAUAGAAGUGUUCUACAGAUAAUGUCAAAGUGUCCAAAUAUUGAGGUGUUGUGUCUGGGGGAUGUACUACUGGAGGAAGAGGAAGAGGAAGAGGACAUAGACAUGUUAGAAACAAAUCUUGUAGGCAUCGACAAAUUCUUUCUCAGUGUCCUCAAACAGAACAUCCAUGUAAAACAGCUUCAUCUCAGCAUGCAUGGAGUCACCAACCGAUCUGUGGAGGCCAUCUGUGCGAAGUGUACAGAGCUACAACACAUUGUGAUAGAGGACAGCGAACACAUCAACAGAGAUGCACUCACUGACCUUGUCAGCAGCAUACCAGGCCUCCAGGAACUACAUGUCAACAAUUGUGGGGGUGUGAUGUAUCCAGAAAUAUCAAACCAGGAUCCUAGUCAGAAACUCGGCCUGACCACACUCAGUUUGAUCGGCACAGCUCUUUCAACAGAAGAUGUAAGCACACUCCUAAAAAACUGUCCAGCGUUGUGUGACCUUGACCUCAGUGACACCUAUGACUUAACCUGCUUUCCAAGUGAUGUAUUACCCACACAGAGGAGUGGCUUAGACACCCUGCAGUCCCUCAGACUCCGAAACAGCAGAGGACUACAGGACUUGACCCUCGAACACUGCCCACAGCUGAGGAUGGUGGACGUACGUGGAUGUAUGGGUCUCACCUCCCUUAAGCUCUCCUGUCCCAGAGUUGAAGACGUACUCCUGGAGGAUGUCAACCAACUGAAGGAACUGUUGUUGUCACCUUGUAACAUGGUCAAAGUCAAGGUCACUGAUCAUGCUAGUUUGAAGAGUCUAGAGGUCACCAGUCCUGUCCUAGAGUCUGUCAGCCUCUGUAACUGUCCACUAUUAUCAACAGAUACCUUGGUGUCUAAUGUGAAGGAGCGUCAUAACAUCACCAAACUCAUUCUAAACAAAUGUAUAAACAUUCCACCCGAGGAUCUCAACCUCUUCAUUCUGCCAGCAUUUCCAAACUUAAGUUGUCUGUCAUACAGUGGCCAUGCUUGGAGUGACGUACAGAUAACCAGCUCUCAAAUCGACACUCUGAUGUUUGGGGACUGUCUCAAUGUGACUGGUCUCCCUGUCAACAUUCCGUCCCUUCAGAAACUGUCACUGUUCCGGUGUCGUGACAUCACGGAGAGUGAGCUGGUCAAUGGCCUGCUAUUUGGAAACCAGGCUCUUGACAACCACAAUAAGUUGACCCCUACAGGGAAGACUCAGGUGACCUUGGAACCGUUCUCUGAGAACACAGGAACACCACACCUGAAGGAGCUCAUGUUGAGUGAAAUGGUCGGAAUCCAUGGCAACAUGCUGUCAGGGGCCAUGUCCAAUUUCCAGGAUCUGACGCGGCUUGAGCUGAUCAACUGUGCGCGUCUAGCUCAGUUGAGUUUAUGUGACUGCGCCAAUCUAACCCAUGUGGUGGUACGCAGUUGUAACAGACUGACCAAGAUGGUCAUUCAGCGGUCGGCACCCUGUGUACAAACUGUGGAAUUGAAGUGGUGUGGUAUGGUGGAACAUUUCUCGUGUAAUGGGAACAGACUUCACUCUCUAAGUGUAUUAGCCACCAACUUUGUACACUUCUCUGUGUCCAGUACUUCCCUGACCACACUGGCUCUAACUGGUGUCCUCACUCAGACUGGACACUCCCUCACUGUAAAUUGUCCACACCUAACCUCCCUGUCCCUACAAAAGUGUGACCUACUGACCACUGUCCAGCUGAGACACCUACUGAACCAUGCAGCUGAACUGAUCGCUGUGGAUGUCAGGGGUUCUUCCUCACUAAGUUCUCUAGAGGUUCCUGGAGGAGUAAAGACAUGCUAUCUUAUGGGCCACAGAAAGCUCCAGGAAAUCUCGGUUCAGCAUCCGAUACAGCUGUCCCGCAUCACGCUAAACAACCUUCCUAAGUUUGUUCCAAACCAGCGUAUGACCCUCCUGAAGGCCUGUGAGGAUACCCUGACUGUGUUAGACUUGCGAGCUAUACCAGGGGAGACAAAUCUUGUGAUUCAACUGAAAAAUUUAGAAUCAUUGACACUUGAUCAGGGCCUCUACCUCGACCGUCUCGAGAUUCUUUGCCCGAAGUUGACCUACCUAAGGAUACAGGGUUGUCCAAAACUUUGGCAUCUGACCAUAGAACUGGACCGACUGUCCCAGCUACAAAUUACACACAGCUCACCACUGCUAGCCCUAAGGUCCAUGGAGCUACAUACAUCACGCGUCACCUACCUCGCCAAGGUCAUAGCAUACUACUGUCCCAAGUUGGAGAUUCUGAAGCUGUACAAAACCUAUGUAACUCAAGAAAUGAUCAAUAAGCUUGGUAGCCUCAUUCCAACCCUGAAGAAGUUAAGUUUAUAUGGUUGUCAUGGUUACACAAGCAUUGGGUGCGGGUCUGUGAACCCUGGUUCUACAUCUCUCUACAUCACAAGUCAGGAUAUCCCGGGCUCCUGACACCAGGUCACUCCUAUAGACUUGUCAGCUGCUGUUGACAGAAAAUGCUGCAGGGAUAGAUAACUACCCGAGAUAGACAGUAAGGCAUGCUGCAAGGAUCCCAUACCAAAAUCAGCUACCCAGGAGCACAUGUGCUGCACAUAAGUUUCACAUAAAUAGCUGAGAUAGACAAGAAGGCAUGCUGCAGGGAUAGAUAACUAGCAGAGAUAUAUAACAAGGCAUGCUGCAGGGUUAGAUAACUAGCCGAGAUAGACAAGAAGGCAUGCUGCAGGGAUAGAUAACUAGCAGAGAUAUACAACAAGGCAUGCUGCAGGGUUAGAAAACUAGCCGAGAUAGACAACAAGGCAUGAUGCAGGGAUAGAUAACUAGCCGAGAUAGACAACAAGGCAUGCUGCAGGGAUGGACAGUUGGGAAUGCUGUACGGGGACAAAAGGCUGGCUAUAGAGAAACACAUCCAUGUGUGCUGCAGAGAUUGACAACUUGGUAUGCUACAAAGAUAAUCAACUAUACAUGCUGCAGAGAUUAUAUUACUAGGUGUGCUGUAGAGAUUGAUAACUUGGUAUGCUACAAGUAUAAUCAACUAUACAUGCUGCAGAGAUUAUAUUACUAGGUGUGUUGUAGAGACAGUUUCACUUCGGCAUGUUGCAGACCUGCCAAUCAGCCAAACAAACAACUAAUAAUGAUGCCAUACUACUUCAUAUCACUGAGCAUUAUGUAAAACAUGAACAUCAACUUUAAACAUGAAAUACUGUACUAGGUUUUGAUCAUAUUAUUCUGAUGUAAUGAUUUUAAACCACAAAAUUUGAAUUUAAACCAUAAUCCCUAUGUACAUAAAUGUUAAUACAAGACCAUGUAUCCCAGCAGCUCCAUUAAAUUUGGGUAACCUUAAGCUCAUUUCCUGUCGUUGAAAAGUAUAAGGUCUUCCAAGGUAGCAUCACACUUUAAAGCAAACUUCUACCGUAAAAGUGGAAAUUAUUGCGUGUGGAAAUGUUCGGGUUGUCUCACUGUAAAGUGGAAUGUUCUCAUCAGCAAUAAGUCUUUAUUAUUCUAUUUACCUUUAAAUGGUCUAGAUCAUCUGUAUAUAAAUAUUCAUAUUUGAUAUUUUACCGCCAAUAUACUAAACAUAAAAAUUUCCACUUUUAUAGUAUUUUAUAGUAUAGCGAAUAUAUAUGUUCAUUUAUAUAUUGCUCAGUACCAUUACAAUGGCUUGUUAGUGCCAUAGAGGCUAUAAGGCAGCUCCAGGGUAGAUAUUUUCCCCUAAUGCUACUAUGCACAUAUCUUACACCUAAUAGUAAACCUUUAUACAUGUGUGAAAAUUAAACAUUGAUUUUGUGAUUUUUAAUUCAAAAUUAACCUAAUAACCUUGAACAAGUAAUUCAAGUAUCAUUCACUUAUGCUUGUUAAAUGAUGUAUGUAAAGCCCCCUCCCCAAAUCUCCCUUCCCUUCAGUAUCAUUCACUUAUCCCUGUUAGAUGAUGUAUGUACAGCCCCCUCUCCAAAUCUUCUUCCCUUCAGUAUCAUUCACUUAUCCCUGUUAGAGGAUGUAUGUACAGCCCCCUCCACAAAUCUCCCUUCCCUUCAGUAUCAUUCACUUAUCCCUGUUAGAGGAUGUAUGUACAGCGCCCUCCCCAAAUCUCCCUUCCCUUCAGUAUCAUUCACUUAUCCCUGUUAGAGGAUUUAUGUACAGCCCCCUCCCCAAAUCUCCCUUCCCUUCAGUAUCAUUAACUUAUCCCUGUUAGAUGAUGUAUGUACAGCCCCCUCCACAAAUCUCCCUACCCUUCAGUAUCAUUAACUUAUCCCUGUUAGAUGAUGUAUGUACAGCCCCCUCCCCAAUUCUCCCUUCCCUUCCAGUAUCAUUCACUUAUCCCUGUCAGAUUAUGUAUGUACAGCCCCCUCCCCAAAUCUCCCAUCCCUUUCUAGUAUAAGGUGACACAUCACCAGUGUUAGGUUGUGGUUUUUGAAUGGUUUAAACAUUUCUUAUAUAGUAACCAGUUGUUGAUGUUUGUUAAGGGUGAUAGACUGUGGUGUUACCACUGGAGAGCAUGACAGAUUAUAGGGAUCAGAAACACAGGAAUAUGUCUCCCCUUAGAAGAAGAGAAGCAUGUAUAAGCUUUUACUAGUUACAUUUUAUUCAGGCCGUUACUUUUAAAAUAGAUUUCCUGAUGAAACUUGAUCACAGGUGUAGAGUGCAUUGUUAUAAGGUCACCAUUACCUUGGCCUCUUGGCCAAAGGUCAAAUAAAUGUCAACUUUCAGUUGAAAUUUAAAAAAAUAAAUUUGUUGUAGACAUUGUGAUGAAACUUGAAGCUCCCCUUCAUCACACACAGGUGUGCAGUUCAAUGUUAUUCUGUCAUAGUAAUAUUCACCACCGGGUAUAUGAAAUUCAAAACAUUUUAGUUAAAUCUUGUCUGGGGUUAGAGUUAAGGGAGACAUAUUGUGUAAGUACUGGUUCUUCUAAUAAUUUCUUGACCGUGCCGUAACUUUUAAACCAUUAAAGAUGUCUUGAUUAAGCUUGCAGUAUAUCUGCAUCUCACAAAGACGAUAAGCAGUGCACUAUUAUUAGGUCACUGACCUUGACCUUAAGGUCAAAGUGCAAACUUUUCAGUGGUGACUCUCAAGGUAGUGUGUCAGCAUCUCCACAACUUUUUAACUGCAUUUAAUACAUGUAUGCAUUUAUAAGAAGGCAGUUCAUCUUAAACCUAAAUGUACAUAAGAGAAUUGUAGAUAAAUGGUUAUUUGACAUAUUUCCACAUUUUUGUUUCGCAAGAGAAAGGGAGAAAUGUUUUUUGUUCACGAAAACAAAUCUCUAAAUGUUACCUUGAACUCAAAGGUUAAAUACAAUGUAAAAUCAAAUAUGCAUAUGGCUAAUAGGAGACCUGAUUUUCUUUGCAUGUUACCGGGUAUAUCAGAUUCUCUAGCUUGAAAUUGAAAAAUAUGAUAUUUUUUUGUGUAUGAAAAUUGAUAAAAAGCACUCAUUUUUUUUCAAACUUUUUGUUUUAACAGCAUAAUAUCAGGUGGCGAAAAAUGAAGUCCAUUUGUCCUGCAAAUGAGAUAGAAAAAUCUCAGACUGGAAUUUUUUUUUUAUACAUUGUACCUACAAAGUGUAUACUACGUUGACUUAAAUGAUCUCCAAAAAAAAUCAAAAUAUCCUUCUGCCAAGGAAAAAGAAAAAGUAUUUUGAUAUUCCAAAUGAUUUGUAAGAGUUGUCAAAAUAAACUGUUAUUAAAUGUGUGCAUCAUAUUACAUGUACUAUGUUUUGAUAACAUGGUGUGAAUUUCGAAUGACAUUACCUCUUUAAACGAUCUUAUUUAUGGUUCAUUGUUAGCAAUCAUAAAACAAUUGUACUGUUUGUGAAUGUUGACUCCAUUUGUUCACAUUUAAAUAAAUACCGUAAAACG
rnacentral:misc_RNA from 1 species